GUCUGACGCUGGAAGCCUGUAUGCUUGCACCGGGUGGAUGAGUGGCGAACGGGUGAGUAACACGUGAGUAACCUGCCCCUGACUUCGGGAUAAGCCCGGGAAACUGGGUCUAAUACCGGAUACGACUGCCGGACGCAUGUCUGGUGGUGGAAAGUUUUUUCGGUUGGGGAUGGGCUCGCGGCCUAUCAGUUUGUUGGUGAGGUAAUGGCUCACCAAGACGACGACGGGUAGCCGGCCUGAGAGGGCGACCGGCCACACUGGGACUGAGACACGGCCCAGACUCCUACGGGAGGCAGCAGUGGGGAAUAUUGCACAAUGGGGGAAACCCUGAUGCAGCGACGCAGCGUGCGGGAUGACGGCCUUCGGGUUGUAAACCGCUUUCAGCAGGGAAGAAGCGAAAGUGACGGUACCUGCAGAAGAAGUACCGGCUAACUACGUGCCAGCAGCCGCGGUAAUACGUAGGGUACGAGCGUUGUCCGGAAUUAUUGGGCGUAAAGAGCUCGUAGGUGGUUGGUCACGUCUGCUGUGGAAACGCAACGCUUAACGUUGCGCGUGCAGUGGGUACGGGCUGACUAGAGUGCAGUAGGGGAGUCUGGAAUUCCUGGUGUAGCGGUGAAAUGCGCAGAUAUCAGGAGGAACACCGGUGGCGAAGGCGGGACUCUGGGCUGUAACUGACACUGAGGAGCGAAAGCAUGGGGAGCGAACAGGAUUAGAUACCCUGGUAGUCCAUGCCGUAAACGUUGGGCACUAGGUGUGGGGGGCAUUCCACGUUCUCCGCGCCGUAGCUAACGCAUUAAGUGCCCCGCCUGGGGAGUACGGUCGCAAGGCUAAAACUCAAAGGAAUUGACGGGGGCCCGCACAAGCGGCGGAGCAUGCGGAUUAAUUCGAUGCAACGCGAAGAACCUUACCAAGGCUUGACAUACACCAGACCGUCCUGGAAACAGGUCCUCUUCUUUGAAGCUGGUGUACAGGUGGUGCAUGGUUGUCGUCAGCUCGUGUCGUGAGAUGUUGGGUUAAGUCCCGCAACGAGCGCAACCCUCGUUCUAUGUUGCCAGCACGUGAUGGUGGGAACUCAUAGGAAACUGCCGGGGUCAACUCGGAGGAAGGUGGGGAUGACGUCAAAUCAUCAUGCCCUUUAUGUCUUGGGCUU
rnacentral:rRNA from 1 species